rnacentral:rRNA from 1 species
GACGAACGCUGGCGGCGCGCUUAACACAUGCAAGUCGAACGGAAAGGCCCUGCUUGCCGGGUACUCGAGUGGCGAACGGGUGAGUAACACGUGGGUGAUCUGCCCUGCACUUCGGGAUAAGCCUGGGAAACUGGGUCUAAUACCGGAUAGGAGCCAUUUUUAGUGUGAUGGUUGGAAAGUUUUUUCGGUGUAGGAUGAGCUCGCGGCCUAUCAGCUUGUUGGUGGGGUAAUGGCCUACCAAGGCGGCGACGGGUAGCCGGCCUGAGAGGGUGGACGGCCACAUUGGGACUGAGAGACGGCCCAGACUCCUACGGGAGGCAGCAGUGGGGAAUAUUGCACAAUGGGCGCAAGCCUGAUGCAGCGACGCCGCGUGGGGGAGGACGGCCUUCGGGUUGUAAACUCCUUUCGCUAGGGACGAAGCUUUUUGUGACGGUACCUAGAUAAGAAGCACCGGCUAACUACGUG